UUAAGUUAAUAAGGGCGCACGGUGGAUGCCUUGGCACUAGGAGCCGAAGAAGGACGUGACAAACGACGAUAUGCCUUGGGUAGCUGUAAGUAAGCGAUGAUCCAGGGAUUUCCGAAUGGGGGAACCCAACAGGUAAUGCCUGUUACCCAUAUCUGUUAAGGAUAUGAGGAGGAAGACGCAGUGAACUGAAACAUCUAAGUAGCUGCAGGAAGAGAAAGCAAAAGCGAUUGCCUUAGUAGCGGCGAGCGAAACGGCAGGAGGGCAAACCGAAGAGUUUACUCUUCGGGGUUGUAGGACUGCGAUGUGGACUCAAAGACUAUAGAAGAAUGAUUUGGGAAGAUCAGCCAAAGAGAGUGAUAGCCUCGUAUUUAAAAUAGUCUUUGUACCUAGCAGUAUCCUGAGUACGGCGAGACACGUGAAAUCUCGUCGGAAUCUGGGAGGACCAUCUCCCAACCCUAAAUACUCCCUAGUGACCGAUAGUGAACCAGUACCGUGAGGGAAAGGUGAAAAGCACCCCGGGAGGGGAGUGAAAUAGAACCUGAAACCGUGUGCCUACAACAAGUUCGAGCCCGUUAAUGGGUGAGAGCGUGCCUUUUGUAGAAUGAACCGGCGAGUUACGAUAUGAUGCGAGGUUAAGUUGAAGAGACGGAGCCGUAGGGAAACCGAGUCUGAAUAGGGCGCCUUAGUAUUAUGUCGUAGACCCGAAACCAUGUGACCUACCCAUGAGCAGGUUGAAGGUGCGGUAAGACGCACUGGAGGACCGAACCAGGGCACGUUGAAAAGUGCUUGGAUGACUUGUGGGUAGCGGAGAAAUUCCAAACGAACUUGGAGAUAGCUGGUUCUCUCCGAAAUAGCUUUAGGGCUAGCGUCGACAUAGAGAUUCUUGGAGGUAGAGCACUGUUUGGGUGAGGGGUCCAUCCCGGAUUACCAAUCUCAGAUAAACUCCGAAUGCCAAUGAAUUAUGGUCGGCAGUCAGACUGCGAGUGCUAAGAUCCGUAGUCGAAAGGGAAACAGCCCAGACCACCAGCUAAGGUCCCAAAAUAAUUGUUAAGUGGAAAAGGAUGUGGGGUUGCACAGACAACUAGGAUGUUAGCUUAGAAGCAGCUAUUCAUUCAAAGAGUGCGUAAUAGCUCACUAGUCGAGUGACCCUGCGCCGAAAAUGUACCGGGGCUAAAACAAUUUACCGAAGCUGUGGAUACCUUUAUAGGUAUGGUAGGAGAGCGUUCUAUGUGUGAAGAAGGUAUACCGUGAGGAGUGCUGGAACGCAUAGAAGUGAGAAUGCCGGUAUGAGUAGCGAAAGACAGGUGAGAAUCCUGUCCACCGUAAGACUAAGGUUUCCAGGGGAAGGCUCGUCCGCCCUGGGUUAGUCGGGACCUAAGGAGAGACCGAAAGGUGUAUCCGAUGGACAACAGGUUGAUAUUCCUGUACUAGAGUAUGUAGUGAUGGAGGGACGCAGUAGGCUAACUAAAGCAGACGAUUGGAAGAGUCUGUCUAAGCAGUGAGGUGUGAAUUGAGUUAAAUGCUUAGUUCUAUAACAUUGAGCUGUGAUGGGGAGCGAAGUUUAGUAGCGAAGUUAGUGACGUCACACUGCCAAGAAAAGCUUCUAGCGUUUAACAUACUCUACCCGUACCGCAAACCGACACAGGUAGUCGAGGCGAGUAGCCUCAGGUGAGCGAGAGAACUCUCGUUAAGGAACUCGGCAAAAUGACCCCGUAACUUCGGGAGAAGGGGUGCUGACUUUACGUCAGCCGCAGUGAAUAGGCCCAAGCAACUGUUUAUCAAAAACACAGCUCUCUGCUAAAUCGUAAGAUGAUGUAUAGGGGGUGACGCCUGCCCGGUGCUGGAAGGUUAAGAGGAGUGCUUAGCGCAAGCGAAGGUAUGAAUUGAAGCCCCAGUAAACGGCGGCCGUAACUAUAACGGUCCUAAGGUAGCGAAAUUCCUUGUCGGGUAAGUUCCGACCCGCACGAAAGGCGUAAUGAUUUGGGCACUGUCUCAACGAGAGACUCGGUGAAAUUUUAGUACCUGUGAAGAUGCAGGUUACCCGCGACAGGACGGAAAGACCCCAUGGAGCUUUACUGCAGUUUGAUAUUGAGUGUCUGUACCACAUGUACAGGAUAGGUAGGAGUCUAUGAGAUCGGGACGCCAGUUUCGAAGGAGACGAUGUUGGGAUACUACCCUUGUGUUAUGGCCACUCUAACCCGGAUAGGUGAUCCCUAUCGGAGACAGUGUCUGACGGGCAGUUUGACUGGGGCGGUCGCCUCCUAAAAGGUAACGGAGGCGCCCAAAGGUUCCCUCAGAAUGGUUGGAAAUCAUUCGCAGAGUGUAAAGGUAUAAGGGAGCUUGACUGCGAGAGCUACAACUCGAGCAGGGACGAAAGUCGGGCUUAGUGAUCCGGUGGUUCCGUAUGGAAGGGCCAUCGCUCAACGGAUAAAAGCUACCCUGGGGAUAACAGGCUUAUCUCCCCCAAGAGUUCACAUCGACGGGGAGGUUUGGCACCUCGAUGUCGGCUCGUCGCAUCCUGGGGCUGUAGUCGGUCCCAAGGGUUGGGCUGUUCGCCCAUUAAAGCGGCACGCGAGCUGGGUUCAGAACGUCGUGAGACAGUUCGGUCCCUAUCCGUCGCGGGCGUAGGAAAUUUGAGAGGAUCUGCUCCUAGUACGAGAGGACCAGAGUGGACUUACCGCUGGUGUACCAGUUGUCUUGCCAAAGGCAUCGCUGGGUAGCUAUGUAGGGAAGGGAUAAACGCUGAAAGCAUCUAAGUGUGAAACCCACCUCAAGAUGAGAUUUCCCAUGAUUUUAUAUCAGUAAGAGCCCUGAGAGAUGAUCAGGUAGAUAGGUUAGAAGUGGAAGUGUGGCGACACAUGUAGCGGACUAAUACUAAUAGCUCGAGGACUUAUCCAA
rnacentral:rRNA from 1 species